UGCAAUCGAGAAAAUCGAUAGUAAGAUUAUAUGUGGUUAUUAUAAGACCAACUCUUACGUAUGGUUGUGAAGUGUGGACGACAACCAAGCAGACGGAGAGAAAAAUGAAAAAUGUUGUGAACAAAGUAUGGAGAAAAAUAUGUGGCGAACAAAUAUAAAUUAAACAACCUUAUGUAUCCUACCUUCCCAACUUCUCACCUACAACAGCGGCCCUUUCAUCAUGCGAAGUGUGUCCGUCUUUCUUUUUACUCUGUGAAAUGUUCAUAAAUGAAGGAUACAGA